UACGAAGGGGGCUAGCGUUACUCGGAUUGACUGGGCGUAAAGGGCUCGUAGGCGGCCAACUAAGUCAUACGUGAAAUCCCUCGGCUUAACCGGGGAACUGCGUCUGAUACUGGAUGGCUUGAGAUUGGGAGAGGGAUGCGGAAUUCCAGGUGUAGCGGUGAAAUGCGUAGAUAUCUGGAGGAACACCGGUGGCGAAGGCGGCAUCCUGGACCAACACUGACGCUGAGGAGCGAAAGCCAGGGGAGCAAACGGG
rnacentral:rRNA from 1 species